rnacentral:rRNA from 1 species
CAGCAGCCGCGGUAAUACGUAGGUGGCGAGCGUUGUCCGGAAUCAUUGGGCGUAAAGGGAGCGCAGGCGGGCAUGUAAGUCUUUCUUAAAAGUUCGGGGCUUAACCCCGUGAUGGGAAAGAAACUACAUGUCUUGAGUACAGGAGAGGAAAGCGGAAUUCCCAGUGUAGCGGUGAAAUGCGUAGAUAUUGGGAGGAACACCAGUGGCGAAGGCGGCUUUCUGGACUGCAACUGACGCUGAGGCUCGAAAGCCAGGGGAGCGAACGGGAUUAGAUACCCCCGUAGUCCCUGUCUCUUAUACC